UUGGGAGAGGUUUCUACCUGGAAUUUUGGGAGAGGUUUCCAACUGGAAUUUUGGGAGCAGUUUCUACCCAGAAUUCUGGGAGUGGUUUCCACCUGGAAUUUCAGGAGAGGUUUCCAGCUGGAAUUUUGGGAUAAGUUUCCCCCUGGAAUUUUGUGAGAGGUUUCCAGUUGGAAUUUUGGGAGAGGUUUCCACCCAGAAUUUUGGGAGAUGUUUCCCCCUGGAAUUUUGGGAGAGGUUUCCCCCUGGAAUUUUGGGAGAGGUUUCCAACUGGAAUUCUGGGAGAGGUUUCCACCUGGAAUUUUGGAAGGGACUUCCAGCUGGAAUUUUGGGAGAGGUUUCCAGCUGGAAUUUUGGAAGAGGUUUCCACCCAGAUUUUGGGAGAGGUUUCCACCCGGAAUCGGGAGAAGUUUCCACCUGGAAUUGUGGGAGAGGUUUCCAGCUGGAAUUUUGGGAGAGGUUUCCACCUGGAAUUUCGGGAGAAGUUUCCCCCUGGAAUUUUAGGAGAGGUUUCCAGCUGGAAUUUUGGGAGCGGUUGGAGGGGAGGGAGGUGCUGCAGGAAAAGGGGGCUGGGGUGGAUCCAUGGAAUGCUUUGGGAGCCCUUUGGAGCCGGGUUUGUCGCUCCAAUCCCUGUGGAUGCUCCUGCCCAUUCCCAGGGACGGGAGGGGACGCUCCUGGAGCAAACCUGACCCCGUGGGAUGAUCCCUACGGAAGAUCACUGCGACCUCCUGGCCCCCAAAUCCCGGGAUUCGGGUGGAAACGAGCCCGGCUUUGGGAGACACGGCUCAUUCCAACCUCCACUCGAGCUCUGACCCCUCCAAGCUCUCCCAGGCCUGGAUUUGCUGCCGCUGGAAUGUCCCCCCUGGAAUGUGCAGCCACAGGGAGGGUUGUGAUGAGUCCCAAGGCUGCUCCCUUGGCUCUGGAAUUCUGGGAUCACCGGCUGGGCUUCCCAAGCCCGGCCCUGGGGCCGGUUGGGGGGGAUUUGGUCGGAGACCCCCAGGAAGGGGGGGUGGAAAUUCCGUGGGUUUGGCUCCACUGGGGAUCCACUUCCAGCAGGAAAAGGAGCUUCCCUUGGCCCACCUGCUCUUCCCAUUCCCAUCCCAGACUCCCCAGAUAACCAGGAGAGCUGGAUCAGGCCCUGGAAUUUCCCUUUGGGAAAGGCUGAGUUGCCGUGGGGGGAUUUGCUGGAAUCCUGGAAUGCUUUGGGUUGGAAAAGGCACAACUCGAGGCUCUUCCCUUUCCCUUCCCUUUGUUUUCCCCCUUUCUCUGCUCUUUCCUCCUCCUUUUUCCCUUCAGCUUUUCCAUCACUUUGCAUCCAGAGCUCUCCAAACCCUGCCGUCCUGGGAGGAGUGGGAGUUCCAGGCUUUCCCAAAUCCAAGCCCUUUCUCCCUCUUUAUCCUCAGAACAGCGUGAAAGAAAAAUUCCUCUGCUCUCCUACCUCCAUGUCGGGACCUCUCGAAGGUUUUCCCUGGAAAAACAUCAUCCCAUGCUUAUGAAAAACAUGGAUCCAGGGCACUUGGAGUGGAUGGAGGAGGCAGAAACUUCUUUAUCCCCCUUUGGAGCAGAUCUGAGGUUGUUCCUCUGCCCGAGGCAAACAAAGGCAAAUCAGAUUUGGUGGAAAACGGGGAAAAAAUAACCCCCAGGACAAGCAGGAG